AACGAACGCUGGCGGCGUGGAUAAGACAUGCAAGUCGAGUGCGAAUCAUUCCGUAGCAAUACGGGAUGGUUUGAGCGGCGCAAGGGUGCGUAACACGUGGGUAAUUUGCCGUGAAGUUGGGGAUAACUCGCUGAAAGGCGAGCUAAUACCGGAUGUGGUUAUGGGGUGGCAUCACCUGAUAACUGAAGCUGGGGAUCGUAAGACCUGGCGCUUCAUGAUAAGCCCGCGGCCUAUCAGCUAGUUGGUGAGGUAACGGCUCACCAAGGCGAAGACGGGUAGCUGGUCUGAGAGGACGACCAGCCACACUGGAACUGAGACACGGUCCAGACACCUACGGGUGGCAGCAGUCGAGAAUUUUUCUCAAUGGGCGCAAGCCUGAAGGAGCGACGCCGCGUGGGGGAUGAAGGGUUUCGAUCCGUAAACCCCUGUCAUUCGUGAACAAUGGUUACCCAUGAAUAAUGGGUGAGUCGAUAGUAACGGAAGAGGAAGGGACGGCUAA
rnacentral:rRNA from 1 species